AGGGGCCCAGGCUCAGGGCAGAUUUGCAUGCGGCCCCCACAGCCCUCACAGACUCCAUCCCAGGGUUUCAGGGAGAGGAUAAGAGGGAGAAGACAGAGACCAGGCCCAGCUGUGAGCUCUGAGGACCCCCUGCACCAUGGCCCGGCCUCUUGUCUGUCUCUCGCUGCUCACCUUCUGCUCAGGCUCCGUCUCCCAGGCUAUGGUGACUCAGCCUCCCUCUGCCUCUGCAGCCCUGGGGAGCUCGGCCAGACUCUCCUGCACCCUGAGCAGUGAGCUCAGUGCUAGAAAUGUUUAUUGGCACCAGCAGAGCCCAGGAAAGCCCCCUCGGUACCUCCUGUAUGUCACCAGCAGUGGAAGUACAGGCAGGGGCAACGGGAUCCCUGAGCGCUUCUCUGGCUCCGGAUCUGGGACGAACCGAUUCCUGUCCAUCAGCAACGUCGAGCCUGACGAUGAAGCCGAUUAUUUCUGCCAGUCAGAUUACUACCGUAGUAGUAGUAAUUUUGGUUAUACACAGUGA